rnacentral:rRNA from 1 species
ACUCUGCAAAUUGACACCGUAACUUCGGGAGAAGGUGUGCCGCUGGCGGUUAGUGACUUCGCGUCACGAAGCUGUUGGUGGUCGCAGUGAAAUGGCGGUUGUGACUGUUUACUAAAAACACAGGACUCUGCGAAGUCGUAAGACGACGUAUAGGGUCUGAUGCCUGCCCGGUGCUGGAAGGUUAAGGGGAUAUGUCAGCGCAAGCGAAGCAUUGAACCGAAGCCCCAGUAAACGGCGGCCGUAACAAUAACGGUCCUAAGGUAGCGAAAUUCCUUGUCGGGUAAGUUCCGACCUGCACGAAGGCAUAACAACAUCCGCACUGUCUCGACCAGGGACUCAGCGAAAUUACAUUGGGGGUGAAGAUGCCCUCUACCCGCGGAAAGACGGAAAGACCCCAUGAACCUUUACUGCAACUUGGCAGUGAUUUUCGGGUUGUUCUGCGUAGGAUAGGUGGGAGGCUUUGAAGCCGGGCUUCCGGGUUCGGCAGAGCCAACGUUGAAAUACCACCCUGAAUAAUCUGGAAAUCUAACCUGCGCCCAUGAUCUGGGCGAGGGACACUGCCUGGUGGGCAGUUUGACUGGGGCGGUCGCCUCCUAAAUUGUAACGGAGGCGUGCGACGGUUCCCUCAGGCUGAUUGGAAACCAGCCGUAGAGUGCAAACGCAUAAGGGAGCUUUACUGCGAGACUGACAAGUCGACCAGUUGCGAAAGCAGGUGUUAGUGAUCCGGUGGUACCACAUGGAAGGGCCAUCGCUCAUCGGAUAAAAGGUACUCUGGGGAUAACAGGCUGAUCGCGCCUGAGAGUUCACAUCGGCGGCGCGGUUUGGCACCUCGAUGUCGGCUCAUCGCAUCCUGGGGCUGGAGCAGGUCCCAAGGGUUUGGCUGUUCGCCAAUUAAAGCGGUACGCGAGCUGGGUUUAAAACGUCGUGAGACAGUUUGGUCCCUAUCUUCCGUGGGCGCAGGACACUUGAGAGGAGCUAUCCAUAGUACGAGAGGACCUGGAUGGACGAACCUCUGGUGCUCCGGUUGUCACGCCAGUGGCAUAGCCGGGUAGCCAUGUUCGGAACAGAUAACCGCUGAAGGCAUAUAAGCGGGAAGCUGGCCUCAAGACUAGGUGUCCCUGACGCAAGUCACUAAAGGCCCCUCGAAGACUACGAGGUUGAUAGGCUCGGUGUGGAAGCACAGCGAUGUGCGGAGCUAACGAGUACUAAUAGGCCGUGCGGCUUGACCCC